CUUGCUUCUCUUGAGAGCGGCGGACGGGUGAGUAAUGCCUAGGAAUCUGCCUGGUAGUGGGGGAUAACGUCCGGAAACGGACGCUAAUACCGCAUACGUCCUACGGGAGAAAGCAGGGGACCUUCGGGCCUUGCGCUAUCAGAUGAGCCUAGGUCGGAUUAGCUAGUUGGUGGGGUAAUGGCUCACCAAGGCGACGAUCCGUAACUGGUCUGAGAGGAUGAUCAGUCACACUGGAACUGAGACACGGUCCAGACUCCUACGGGAGGCAGCAGUGGGGAAUAUUGGACAAUGGGCGAAAGCCUGAUCCAGCCAUGCCGCGUGUGUGAAGAAGGUCUUCGGAUUGUAAAGCACUUUAAGUUGGGAGGAAGGGCAGUAAAUUAAUACUUUGCUGUUUUGACGUUACCGACAGAAUAAGCACCGGCUAACUCUGUGCCAGCAGCCGCGGUAAUACAGAGGGUGCAAGCGUUAAUCGGAAUUACUGGGCGUAAAGCGCGCGUAGGUGGUUCGUUAAGUUGGAUGUGAAAUCCCCGGGCUCAACCUGGGAACUGCAUUCAAAACUGACGAGCUAGAGUAUGGU
rnacentral:rRNA from 1 species